AAUUAGCUUGAGGAAAACGUUCACUCUUGCUUAUGUGAAGCUUGGAUAAGAUGCAGGUUGGGAGCCAUCUCGUUAGGCGUCUGGACUCUUAAAGCGGAGGGGUUACUGGAUAGUGUUGUUGUAUAGUUUUGUUGUACAGUGAUGUAUAUAUAUGUACUUAGCUUUCUCUCCGCA